rnacentral:rRNA from 1 species
UGAAGAAUUUGUCCAACGGUGGGGGAUAGCCGGCCCAACGGCCGGGUAAUACCGCGUACGCCCUUCGAGCGGCAUCGCUUGAUGGGGAAAGUCGCAAGACGCCGAUGGAGAACUUCGCGGCCUAUCAACUAGUUGGUGAGGUCAUGGCUCACCAAGGCGACGACGGGUAGCUGGUCCGAGAGGAUGACCAGCCACAUUGGGACUGAGACACGGCCCAGACUCCUACGGGAGCAG